rnacentral:rRNA from 1 species
AUUGAAUGCUGGCGGCAGGCCUAACACAUGCAAGUCGGGCGAGUGGCGGACGGGUGAGUAAUGUCUGGGAAACUGCCUGAUGGAGGGGGAUAACUACUGGAAACGGUAGCUAAUACCGCAUACCAUCAGAUGUGCCCAUAUGGGAUUAGCUAGUAGGUGGGGUAACGGCUCACCUAGGCGACGAUCCCUAGCUGGUCUGAGAGGAUGACCAGCAACACUGGGACUGAGACACGGCCCAGACUCGUACGGGAGGCAGCAGUGGGGAAUAUUGCACAAUGGGCGCAAGCCUGAUGCAGCCAUGCCGCGUGUAUGAAGAAGGCCUUCGGGUUGUAAAGUACUUUCAGUCGGGAGGCGUUACCGACAGAAGAAGCACCGGCUAACUCCGUGCCAGCAGCCGCGGUAAUUC